CCCCGAUUUUAGGCUGGCAAGAUGUGGAUUUCUUGAGGCCAAAGCUGCUAAUAUGUGAUUAAUCACAUUACUGCCUGACCUACGUAUGAUUGUGGCUCCAAGUUUCUUCCUGCGCAUAGUCAGUGGUGGUGUUGAGCAUUAUUUCUUCCUUUAAAAUUUUUUUCAUACCAUCUAUUUUGAUCAUUUUUCCUUCUUCCAACUCUUCCUCACGCAUCCAACUUUAUGUUUUCAUGUUCUUUUUCUUAAAAACCAAACCAAACCAGUCCUGUUGUGUCUGAAUGAUGUUGUUUCCCUUGGAGUUAUUCACCGCUUCUGGCUCUAACCAUAUUUCCGAUGCUUUUUCUUCAUAGACCCCUGAGCCUUGAGAGAAAGGGCUUGAUGAAGACAUCUAGGACGGAGUGCUCCAAUCUCUCUGCACUUUGGAGGACCAUUCUUAUUUAACUUCCCUGUCUGUUUCUCUUUGCUUUUUAGCGGUCCUGUCACCUCUUUCUUGGUUCUUCACAUUUACCCAGAGAAAGCCUCAAUGCCAUCUUACCCGAGAUGCUUCACUACAGUGCGUUUCAUGUACAGUGAAUUGCGUAGUUAAGUGUGCAUGAACUGAGCUUUGACACAGCAUUUCAUGCUUCUCAUGAGACUAGAAAAUGUCUCAGAACCCUGACAUACCUUGAAGUAGAUGGUGUGUGCUAGACUAACGAAGUUUGUAUGAAUUGGGGCUAUGUAGAGGACAGAACCCAAGUUUACGUCUUCUAUUUGAAGUUUCUCUCUAACAUCCCCACAAAAGGGCACACUGGCUGCAUACACUGUGAUCAGUAUCCGAAAGUUCUAAGUUAGAAGUCCUCGUUUAUACAAAGCCACAUACAUUGUGGAGACAGCUGUUCCUAGCUGUAAGGAGCCUUUCCUUGGUCUUAUUAUUUUUCUGUAACAUGUUCCCAUCUCUUUGACUAAUUAUCACUGGUAAUGAUUUUGGAGGUUUUCCAUGUACCUCCUGAUUGUUCCAGCAAAGUUUAUAUUAGCAUUAGUGCCUUGACAAGUUGGGCUCUUUCAAUUCCAGGCAACUGAGUGGCUUUCUUUCACCUGGUCUUGUCAAAGUAGCCUUUGGCCUUCAAUUAAGAUCUUAAUCGAAGAUUAAUUAAGAUCUUUCUGGACUCCAAGUCUGCCUUCAAAUACCUUUGAAAGAUUCAUGCCGCCACCUGCUGGCUUAUUCAGGCUGUGUGUACCAUUCAUUUAUUUAUUAUUUUCAUUUUCUUUUGUUGAGACAGGGUUUCUUCAUUUUGUAAUAGAGACCAUCCAUCCUUACCUGAACCACCGCGAUGUCCGGAUUAGUGAAUUGCAGGUACUUGGAAGGUCCCUAAGCAAAACAAUUUUGUGUACUUUGUUAUUCAUCUGAUGCCUAAAGAUAACUUAGAAUAAGGAGUGAUUUAUUUUGUUUAGUUGAAUCAACCAGAAGACAGCGUAUUCUUUGAUUUUCUAACACCUGGUAUCAAAUUUCUUUCAGAUGGCUAUCCAGUGUUUCUCAAUGAAUAAAAUUUGACAGUUCUCUAAGUUAACUGUUUCUCCAAGGCAAGCACUAUACCACUACUGGGCUCAACCUUUCCUUUGGCUUUUAGCAAUUAUUUUCUGCCACUGCUAGUAAGUAAACCGCUUUGCUGAAUUUUCAGUUCAAAAUAUGGAGUCAUUCCAUUGCCAGAGAAAGUACAAAAAUGCUGACGACCCAAAACUCUGAGCUUAAGCUGUACAACUAGUUCACAACUAAAUACCCUGAUAAUUUAGGAACUAAGGGGUCAUUUAGUGAAGUCAUUCCUCUGUUUCCUUACCAUGAGCUCACCAAUUAAUCCACAAGAACUUUUAGUCUCCAAGACAUACAAGGUGAGAUGUCCAAGUAGGCGAUAUAUAGAAAAUAUGCAUAUACAUGAUGUGUGACCUCACAUACAUUAUAUAAACGUUUAUGUGCCUUUCCCAUAAGCUAUAAAAUAGAGGAUAAUCCUUCAAUAUCACAUCAAAUAGUGGAAAUUUAGAAAUUUGGUCCGGUCAUUGAGUUUUGGUACCGUUAUAUUUAUUCUUCAUAUUAAUUAUUCUUAUUCAAGAUCGCUGCUUGAGCUGAAGCGCCAAUAAGCAAUCAUCCCCUUGUGUGGCCACUCCUCUUCUGUUCUCUCCGCCUUCAGCGCUUUAGUCGGUUAAAAACCAGCGACUGCGGCCAUAUUUUAAAGCAGUCUUCUGUGGAUGUGAGGUUUCUCCCUAUAUAACAGGGUCUCUGGGAACAUUUUUAGUUCCCCUACCACCAUGCCUUAUGGUGUGUUUAAGGAAUUAUAUCAAGAUUCCACAAAAUGCUUUUGAACAUUUUAAAUGUUCUGGUGGGCUUUUCUUGAUACUUCCUUCAUAUCUUGAUAUUUGUAAUAUUUAGGCAAUUUUUCAUUUUUUUUAAUGAAUAUUUCUUUGUCAGGCACUUUGUUGCCUCCUCUCGUGUGGACUUACCUUUACCUUUCUAUAUUUUUACUCCAUUUUUAUAUUUUUGCCCAUCGGGGCCACGGAUACCUGACCAUUGUGUCCUCCUUCCGUUUUUCUCCCAUGCCCAUCGGGGCUGUGGAUACUUACUUGCCUUUUCAUCCUUUCUGGUUUUAUCCCCUCUUCCUCUUCUUUUUCUUCUUUUUAGUCUUAGAAAACUUGCCCAUCCGGGCUGUGGAUACCUGCUUUUAUUUUUUUUUUUUUCCUUAGCCCAUCGGGGCCAUGGAUACCUGCUUUCCACACAAACCGAAUUUCUUGGUCCAUCGGGACCUUGGAUACCUGGGUUUAGUGUUUUUCCUUGCCCAUCGGGGCCUCGGAUACCUGCUUAAUUUUUGUUUUCUUUUCCUUUUUGCCCAUCGGGGCUGUGGAUACCUGCUUAAAUUUUGUUUUCAUUGCCCAUCGGGGCUUUUAGUGGAUGGAAAUAUGCUGAUUUUGUGAGUUACUGUCCUACUGGAAAAUUAAUCCUUUUUUUCCCUAUGCCUCUUGCUGCUGCUGCUGAUCAUUUGGUUGUGUGUGAGUGAACCUAUGGCUUAGAAAAAUGACUUUGUGCUUCAACUGAGUGAGUGUUCAGGGCGUGGAAAGUUCGUUUCCGCCAUUUUAUGGUUGCUGCAUGAUAUGGGCAUUCUCGAGCCAAUUAUGCCAAGAAUUAGGGAGUCGAGGUGGACAGUGGACUGGACAGAGGCAAUCAUUGUGUUAUCCACCAGCUAAAAGCUUUUUAUGUGUGGGUUUGGACUUGAUUUGUGGGUUUUCUUUUAAGAAUCAUGGUAACCGAAAGCAGAAAACCAAGGAGCUGUCGUGUUCAUGUGUGGUGUUAGGUGAAAUGUGCAGAGGGGUAGGGCUUGAAAUGGACAUUUCCAUAUUGCUGGGGAACUCUGUCCAGUUCUAAGGGGUGCUUCUUAUGGUCAUCAAAAUGGCGUCUCGGACCCUGUGCCCAAAAUUCAACAGUCCAACCUCUGUUCUAAUAGUUAUCAUUGGAGGUAGGGCAUUUAGGUUAUAAAAGAGAAGAUGGGGCUCAAGGUCUUGCUGCAGUAUAACGUGGUGGGCUUUGCUUUUCACAUGGUAGGUUGGUGGCUAAAUUAGCCCAGGGCACAAUGUGGCACAUGGUCAUGAGUGGCUAAGAUGGCGGUUUAUUCUGUGAUGAACCCUCAAAGGUACACCCUUGGAGGAAGUUGUGCAGGCUUGAGACAGAGUUUCUGGGGUCUUGGGCAUGUUUUAUGGGGUCUUGGGCAUGUUUUAUGGGGUCUUGGGCAUGUUUUAUGGGGUCUUGAGAAGGUUUUGUGGGGUCUUGAUGUGCUUUGCCCAAGGUGAACUUGGUGCAUUAAGAUAGCAAGUGGUUGGUUCUACCUUGUGCCACUCGAAGCCCAACUGACUUAAUCAGAAAUGGGCGCUAUUUUGAAGUAUUUGCUGCUUCUUGACUUAACCAGUCAAAAAUGAGCACUACUACUUGGUGUAGAGGAUGGUAGUACACUGUGUGAAGACUCUCUGUCCUUCAAGGACUUGUGUUACUUUGGUACCUUACAUUUGUCUUUAGUCAUCGUUAUUUGAAGUGUCUAGCUGGCUGCGAGAGCACAUGCUUGUGAUUCUAACAUUUGAGGUGAUGAACAACAAUCCGAUCUGAGAGAAUUGAGGCUGGAGGCUCCUGAGGUUGAGGUCAAUGUGGGUUGCUGACUGAAACUUCACCUAUUAAAAGAAAGAAGAGAAUCAGUGAUGGGGUCAAGUUAAAGUAUCUAUCUCCCCAAGGAUAGUACCUAAGAUUGUUUCGGGCAGUUGACAUAUUCACUUGCCCUCCGAUUUGUCAUAGAUGGUCUUUUGCGGUGUUCUACAUAUGGUGGUACAAGCUAAGCUUCACCCCAUUCCUUUAUAUUGCUUCAGUGGCCUAAGACUUUUCUAUUCACUCCCUGGCCUCUGAUUUAGCCAGCACUUCGAUCUCAAGCAGUUCUCCAGGCCUGCUGUGGGCUUAGUGGUAACCCUGGCCAGAGUCAUAAUGGACCACAAAUAAAUCACUGGCCAAGAGGUGGAAUUCUACUUUCCUCCAGAGGAUCAUCUACAUACAUGGCUAAUGCUGGGGUUGAAUUUUGGUAUACAUGAAUGUUUUGGAUGUCAGCAAUAAGUCUGAUAUUGUGGUUUGCUAGUGCUUGUAUUUAAAGCUAUAGUGAUUAUAGGAAUGUAUUUAGGGUCUUUGUUUACUUGUCGAAUUCAUUUUAAUUACCUUUAAUGAGUUUUGCUUCAGAAUCCUUAAAGUUUUUAGUUUCUUUUAAAUUCAUUAACUUUUUUGGCAGAUGAUACUAAAAUUACUGGCUCUUAAAAAUUUGAGUCUAGUGACACAGAUACUAUUACUGUAAAGUUAGUUUUGUGAUUGGAUAUCAAAAGGAGUAUCUGAAGAUUUACAGGCUUUGCUUUUAUUACCAUCCUUGAUGCUACAUUGACUAAUGAAUGACUUGACUCAACAGGCAGGAGCCUUGAGUUGUAGUGGUCUGGUGUUCUCUAUCAGACUUACUAUUAACAUUAAUGCCUACAUUCCAACUUUCUAUGGUUUCUUGCUGUUGUGGCAUGCAGUUUCUCAAGACCCAGCAAACACUGCUGCCCUGCCCCAGUCCCCAGUCCCCAGUCCCCAGUCCCCAGCCCCAGCCCCUGCCCUAGCCCAACCCCCCUGCCCUAGCCCAACCAGCCCUGCCCAAGCCAGGCCCAGGCCCAGCCCCAGCCUCAGGCCCAGCUCCAGGGCCAGCCCAGCCCAGCCCCCCAGCCCCAGCCAGGCUCACCCCAGCCCCAGGCCCAGGCCCCAACCCAGGCCCCAGCCCCAGCCCCAGGCACAGUCCCCUAGCCCCAGUCCCCUUCUCCUUAGAGAUAUUCCAAUCUUCAUUGAUUGAGUGCUAAAAAUGCAGUGUCCAUUACUCAUCCUGGAAAACUGAGAUAUCCUGUCUCUAUCCCCCACUCCAUGCUGACUGCCUGAGUCCUGAUUUUCACUUAAUGCACACAAUCCAACUUGUCCAUGGACUUAUAGUAUUAUAACAGAAUUCUUGCCCCUCAUAUGUUAAUCAAGAAACACCAAUUGAACAAUGGUUUCAUUUCAGAGAACUGCCAUCAAGGCACUAUCUCCUAAGUCUCCUUUAAGGAAGGAAAAACCAUUCUGUCAUUGCUUCAGUAGUCACAGUCCCAUUUUCUGACCAGUGCUCAGUAAUCUUUUCUCACACACUGUCUUGAGCACUCUUUGCACUGAGUAAUUUUGAUUGCCCAUAAUUUAUCCAUUGGAUUAAGCCCUAUCUGGUCCAGCCUCAUUUGCAUUCAGCAGAGGGGCAAACACAAGUCUGUUAUCAGACAACUAAGGUGCUUAGUCCCAAUUCUCAAGGCCUUGGCUAUUAAGAGGGCCACUAUAUCCUGUUUGUAUGCUGGCACCGGUGCUAUCAUCCCAGGUUACAUCAUUUAAAUUGAUGGAAAUCAAUUCAUUUGUCCAUAAUACUUUAUACUAGUCCCAUCAGCUUCCCUUAUUUCAGCUGAAAACGGCACUGGGACAGUUUAUGUGUAUAAUCCUGAUUAGGAACUGAACCCUUUCUCAAGGUCCUUGUAUAACCUUAAUGUAUAACAUUAAUAGAGUGCUGAUUACCUAAAGCCUCUUGCAUGAUUGUGUAAACUGCAGUUGCUCAAGUCUGCGUUACUAACCAAGAUCUCAUACCCCCACACCUUAAUGGGUGACAAUGGGGGGGGGCGCCAACUGAUAAGGCCUGUUCUUUGUUCUGGUCUUUUGGCUGUGCUGGGGAUCAAACUUAAUCAUGUGCAGGCUAGUAGAGCUCUCUGCUAUGGAGCUACAGCUCCACCUUGUGGUUGUUUUGAGAAUGAGUCUUUAUGUAUCCUGGGCAGACGCUUGAGCAUUUCAGUCCCGGUUAGUAAAACUACAGGCAUUGCCACCACUUCUGCCUGUUUUUAUAUGCGCAGCUGCAUUUGUCCCUCUUCCUGGGCAUUGGAUAAAGAAACAAACUCAUUUAUUUAGCAAGAACUUUGACCUCAGAUUCAAUCUGUUCUGUUUUUAAUUUCCAGGCUGGCCUUGAGCUCAGAUCAAGCCUUCACUUCACAAGUGCUGGCAUAACUGUUGUCUACCAUGCCCUGCACUCUCUCAGAUUGUGAAUGUGCAUUUUGCUGUAGUAGUAUGCAUUGUGUAAAAACCUUAGCUACUCAUUUGUAUUGCAGCAGGAGGUGCCUAGUACUUAAGAUCCUUAACACAGUUAAAUGUGCACAGUUUAAUUGUCUUGUACAUAUUAUGUCCACAGUUGCGCCUUUUAGAUCAGAACUCCUGAAUGUGUAUCAAAGUAGAGACUCACUAACUCUGUAGUCUCUUUCUUGAGAGUACAGAAAUAAUUCCAAUAUUAUCAGUGGUCCUUCAUUUAAUGGAAAUAUGUGUUGUUCACUUAAAGCCACUUUCUUAACCUGCUAAUGUACACGACGGCAACUUCAGGAGGAUCAGUUUUACUCUCACUUUGAAGUACGGCAGUUGUGUUGACCUAUAAGGUCCCAUUUUGUGGCUUGCUAAUGUCUGAUUGCAUCUGUGCUUUUCUGUUCACUACAGAAGGAAAUCACUCCUCACCCUUAUGCCUUUCCCUUUCAUCAGGGAAUGCAUGUUGCCAAGAUCCUUAUAUUUGAAUGGUCAAAGUGUAAAACUCUAAUUAAUGGCCACAACCAUGUACCUUGAGUAUUAGUGGGCCUAUGCACAUGAUGUAUUUCAUUUGAAUAAGAUCCUACUCUCAGACCCUUUUGCAGUACAGCAAGGGUCACAAAUCUCUUGGCUUCUUCAUCUUCCUGGACACUGUAUAAGGAUAUCCUCUCCUUUCCACGCCCUUUGAUUUCUAGGAGUGUCCAUUACUUUAAGGUCUUGAUAUAUGUAUGAAAGGUGUGGCUUUAAUUAACCACAUGAUGUCCCCUGAACAUUAAUGUACAUAAUAGGGACAGGAUCCAUUCAUUUUAAUACAAAGAUUUGGACAGUUGAUGUGCAAAAUUGCAGUUAUUCAUAACCUUACUACCUUUAAGACUACUGUGUCUCUUUUGCACUACUGCAAGGGAUACUGUUAUUUCCCAGGGUCCCUGCAAGUGGACCAUUAAUUUAUAUAGGGAAAUUUUCCUUUGUCUUUGUCAGUAGACAAAGUCAUCCUUUUCAUUUGCAGUAUAGCAGGGUAUGCUGAUCAACCGAGGCUGCCUUCUUUUGGACUGUUAGUAUGUAUUAUGUUAUGCAUAUGCAUUUCCUCCUGCUCUGUGCACUAGAAAAGGAUCCCACUCACUUCCUUAUUACCUUCCACAGGAAGUGGAAAGUUCAAAUGCACAGUGUCUAAGCACUUGUAUCAGAAACCCUGUAUCCUCUCUCUCUGCUUUAAAGCAGAAAGAGGCUUUUUAAAAACUUUGUGCCCUUCAUUUGGACUUCAAUGUGCAUUACCAGAGUUGUCCAUCCUUACCUUUGGAAUAGGAUUUUACAUCCUUGUACUCUUGACAUCAGAGGCAUGUUAGCUAUUUUGAGCACUUCUCAUGAAUAUUAAUAUGUACACUUACACAUGGACCUGUGUAGCAGAAAGGGUUCCUAAGUUUCUACCUUUUGACCGGGGCAGCUGAGGAAUGCUAACUGUUUAUAACCUCAGCAUCUGGAUGAUUACUGUGCAAUAAUGUCAGUGGUAGAGAGUACCAAUUAUUACUUGGACCUCUGUACUCUCUUUGCAUACCAUCAGAGAUACCGACCAACUAAGCCCCUGAAUUGUUAGUGUGCAUAUUUUUAAUUAUGAAUGCCUAGAAUACUAUGUUCUCAUACCCCCUUUGUAUUACUGCAGGGGCUGCUGAUCCAUCUAAAACAUCUGGGACUAUUAAAUGAGCACAGUGACUCUGACCAAUGGCUUAUUUUGGGACUACUAAUAGGCACAAUGGCUUCUCUUGAUGGUUUAUUUUCUCCUCUGACAUGUUGAGCAAAUCCCCUCCUCUAGUUUCCCAUUGGCACAAUAAAGUAAAAUGCUGCAGUGUGUCUAUGCUUUGUACACCCAACAAUGACCCAGGUUUCCAUCCCUUUUGCAUUGCUCUAGUAUAUAAACCCCUAAAUAUCCAUGAUCUCACCCUUUACACAGUCUUCCCUCUGCCCAGCCCCUAGCUUGUCCAUGGACCACUCUUAUGGACUACUAAUUCUCACAAUCCAGUUGUUGAAGAAGAUUUUACACCCUUUCCCCAGUUCCAUCACUCCGUCCCUUCUGCUUCUCUGUUGAGUAAUAUUGACUGGGCAAGACCCUUCUCUUGAUUUAAAGUCAUCAAUCCCAGAAGCCAUGAGUUUACCCAUUUCAUGUGGCUGCAAUGAUUCAGUUGCACUCUCCUUGGUUCUACCCAUUGAAUAGAAACACUUGUACUGCAUUAUUCUGUCAUUACCCAAAACACCCCAUGUGUCAUUAAUGAACACAGUACCCAUCGACUGUCCCACCGUUCAGCCCAUCUGCCCAAGAGCUCCCUACUACUUGGAUGUAUUUAUACAUGUGAAAUAUCAAAAGCAGGCCAAAACUAGGUGGAUGAACCUUCGCUCUUUAGUUUUCAUUUCUUAAUUACUCUUGAUUCCAUUUGCUAGCACAUUCUAGGGCCAAGGUCAUUCCUGCCCACCUUUAUUAAUGCUUUAUUGUGCAAAAAUAUUUCAGGCAAGUUGCUCAGGGAGCUGGAUUGCCACCUUUUGUUUGGGGCUUUCCUUACAUAGUAUCAACUGAAAAUUGUCUCCCAGAGAAAAGAAAGGAUGCUUAGCUAGCACUUUCUUUACAUUCUUCCUCCAGGAACCAGCUGCCUGCUUAAGAAAUUCAAACUUGUUUCUCUUUUGUAUAUUGCUACUGUACAGUGCCAACUGCCAGAAAAGUUGUUGAAAGUUUAUGCUUUAAGAAAGACAUUUGGAUCUCAAGGUGAAGUUGAUUAUGUGAUCAUUAGCUUUGCUGAAGUAAAAUAGCUAUUUAUAUUCUAUAUCUGAUCACCAAGCAGUGUCUCUCAUUUUACUGAGGGUGGUGAGUCUGUGGCUAAGUCAUUAUGUGUUGUUAUUCUGAUACCUUCAAAGCAGUUGUAGAGUGGAAUGCUUAGGGCCAGUAUGUUUGUUUGGUCUGUGCUAUCAAUUUAAAAAUAAAAAUCAAUCUUUAUGGCCUUUAGUGUCAUUAUCUUUUAAGAAAAUGACCAAACUUUCUAAAUUUGGUCCGACAUAUUGAACACCAGCUCCUACUUAUUUUCAAAAGGUGGCUGUGAAAGGAUUAAAUGAGAAAACAUGUUAAGUGGCCAUCACAUUUGAUUAAUUCUCUAUAUCUGACAUUAAAUGCUGGCAAUGAUUUCAUAGCUUGAAACCACCCUAAAGUGUGGGAACUUUAAAAUAAUGGAGCCUGUUUCCCCACUUUACAUUUUAAAACAUAUCUGCCAACACUUGAGAGAACACUUUGAAGAGAGAUCUGCCUAGUAAGAAAAUGCCUGUCUCUAGUGGAAAGGAUGUUUUGCGGCCGUCAAAUAUUUAAGCUUUUUGGUUUUGUUCUUUAAUUAUUGUGUGUGUGAGAGAGAGUGAGUGUGUGUGUGGGUGCAUGUGUGUCUGUGUGCGCGCACGCGCGUGCUCACAUGUACACUCAGGCAUUCACAUAGUGACCAGCAAUGGGAACUGGUUCUUCUAUCUUCUGGGUCCUGGAGAUCAAACUCAGAUCGUCAGGUUUGGCAGCAAGUGCCUUUACCCUCUCAGCCAUCUUGCCAGUCUGCUGCUGAGUAUUUAAUGUGACAUUGCUGAUGAAAAUAGUCAUCGCCACAGCAGUUCUUCAAAGUUACUGAGAAGACGAUACUAUUUUUCUGAGAAGGACAUCAAGAAAUCUACCCAGUUCAGGUUGAACUUCAGCUCUUCAGACAGGUACAGAAGACUGGCUGUUUAGAAUACAGGUAUAACUAUCAUUGGAAUUGGUUUUCCCGGGAUGAAUUUGGAGUUGGUUUUGUGCCCCGACUGCUCUUAGAAGGAUGAAUGAUAGACAGCAUCCAAAAGGACCAUCCCAGCAUGGGACUCAAGGACUGAUGGCAGCUGACACAGGCUUCAUUCAAAUUCAGCACAUUUUUUCCUUUUGAGCCUCCGGACAAGCUCUAGCCAACCUCAGCAAAUAAUUUGCAUGGCCAUAUGGAGAAAAAGAUCUUCCCCAAGAAGUAUGGGCUUGUUGCUUUCCAGUGCUGGUGACCUGUUCCCUUUGACGAUCCCUAGGUGGAGAUGGGGCAUGAGGAUCCUCCAAGGGAAUAGCUCACCACCAUUGGACAAUAGCCCUAGCCCUGGAGAUUUUAGUGAGACCCUUUGCUGAACCCAACAAAGUCAAAGAUAGCCACCCUACAUCACAAUAGGAGAAACCCUGCUGCACAGUAGUGGCACUGACUUCAUGAGCAAGUCAUUCUGUUUCACCUGGUUCUCAAAGUCCCUGGAAGCUCUGGGGGAGAACCUUACCAGCUGUUUGAACGCUUCGAGAUUCAUGGUGCUACCCAUGGGGUAGAAUAUCCACUCCAUCUACCAGGUCAUCCAUCAUCCUUCCCCAAAGCAGUACAGAAAGCUGGGUCUUCUGCAGGAUCACGAAAGGAAGCCAGCUUUAAGAGCCAAGGACCAACAUGUCUGCAUCUUAGCACCACAACAGAAUGAAUGUGCAUUGUGUUGUAUGUCUAUUUCCUCAUUGUUCUAUGCAUCUGUUUCUUCCUUGCUUUAUGUGUCUAAUUCUUAUUCAUUAUAUCUAUUUCUUCCUAGCUUUGUGUGUCUUAAUUUUUUGAUGUAUCCAUUUCUUCCUUGCUUUAUGUGUCUUUCUUCCUAGCUUUGUGUGUCUAGUUUUUCUUUGAUGUAAUCAUUUCUUCCUUGUUUUGUAUGUGUUUCUUCCUUGCUUUGUGUUUCUUUCUUGCUUUGUAUGUUUCUUCCUUGCCUUACAUGUCUUUCUUCCUUGCCGUGUAUGUCUUUCUUCCUUGCCGUGCAUGUCUUUCUCUCUUGCCGUGUAUGUCUUUCUUGCUGUGUAUCUCUUUCUUCCUUGCCGUGUAUCUCUUUCUCCCUUGCCGUGUAUGUCUUUCUUCCUUGCCAUGUAUGUCUUUCUCCCUUGCCGUGUAUGUCUUUCUUCCUUGCCAUGUAUGUCUUUCUCCCUUGCCGUGUAUGUCUUUCUUCCUUGCCGUGCAUGUCUUUCUCUCUUGCCGUGUAUGUCUUUCUUCCUUGCCGUGUAUGUCUUUCUUCUGUGUAUCUCUUUCUUCCUUGCCAUGUAUGUCUUUCUCCCUUGCCGUGUAUGUCUUUCUUCCUUGCCGUGUAUGUCUUUCUCUCUUGCCGUGUAUGUCUUUCUUCCUUGCCGCGUAUGUCUUUCUUCCUUGCUGCGUAUGUCUUUCUUCCUUGCUGUGUAUCUCUUUCUUCCUUGCUUUGAUGUCUGUGUCUUCCUUGUGUGUCUUUUCCUCCUCUAAUCUACAGUGUAUCUUACUUAUUUCCAUGCUAAUUUCUCUGCUAACUUUUUCCUUGUAGAGUUUUGUCUUGUUUUCACCUCUGGUGCCUGUGUGAUCUGUGCCUUGUUUUGGUUAGAUAUGGCUCUUUUUUUCUAUCUGGUUGCCAUUUCUGUUAGCUCUUCUUUCACUCUUUCUGCCUCUCAUGCCCCCUUUUGGUCACACGCUGUAUGCACUUUCGGUGUGAUGUUUGUCAGCCCUUUGACGUAACAUUUCACAUUUUUCUUUCUGCUGUUACAUUCUUAGCACAUGGUUCUCUUUAUUGCAUCUGCUUUCUGCUUUUUUUGGGCUGUUUUCUCUUUUUUCCUUUGUAGCUGUGUCUUUUUGGUAUUUGUGAUCUCUGCAUUAAUCCAUUGCUUUGUAUUUACUUGGGUUUCUUUCUCUUUAACAUUCCCCUUUCUACUACUCACUCUGAGCAUUUCAGUCUCUGUCUACCUCCCUUACUCUAAUCUUUUCUUGGGUAUUUCUUUGUGUAUGUGUGUGUCAUGUGUCACAGAGAGUCUUCUUAGCCCCUUCCCAAUAGGUGCUGAAUGUUGCCAGUGGCUGUUCUUCAUGCCAGACUGACAUGCGAAAUAAUCUGACAGCACUCCCGUCAGGAUGGAAGUAGAACUGAAAUGACCACAUGAAAAGGCUCAAAGUGGAAGACAUGUUUUGUGACUUGACUUGAAGACCAAGAUACACAGAAGGCCUGUAUGAGCUGGCUGGCUGGACAGAAUGCUCAUAACUCAAAGAGAGGGGCUGCUUCUACAGAACUCACGUGAAGUCUAAGAACUGAGACCUGUGUCAUAAGACACAAAACCUAAGCUAAGUCCAAGCCCAAGAUCUAAGGACUCAAGCCUAUAUGGACAGAAGGUCUAAGAGAUAAAGGCUAGAAAUUGGAGGCCUAUGGCCUAAAACUCUGGGGGGAAUAGAACCCCAAGACCAGGGGAAAUCUGAAGAUGAGAUCCCCCUUUUCCUGGGACAUUAUCAGCACUCCCUCUGUUUCUUAGAUUUCCAUUUAAGCCAGAUUUGCUUGAGAUGUACUUUUCAAUGGUGUCAUUUACUAUAAAGAAACAAGCUUUUAGAAUGACAGUAUUGUACAGGGGUCAAUCUUUAGUCUGUUUUAAACUUGAUUUAGCCAUUUGUUAAAUUUUUGAUGUUUUAAAACUUCCAUUUCUCUUCACAUCUGCUCCACUUGAGAGAGAGAACAAAAUCCAGCCAGUGGUAUCUAGUCUGACUUUUGAUAUUCCCCUAGAAGCAAGCAUCCAUACAGAUACUGUACUUCCAUCCUCCAUAACUCAGAAGCCCUAGGCUAUGAGAAAGGAAAGCAUCAGACUGUUAGGGGAGAACAGUAUCAGGCUAUCUAGAGAAAAUAUGAAGACCUACUCCAGACCAAUGAGAAGAAUUAGACAAGCAAUAUGCAAAUGUGCCGACCUUCUGAGAAGGACCAGCCAGCAUUACCUUCCUUCUUUGGGCUUAGUUUCUGCCAUCAAUAUGACUACGGAUUAAGCAAAAAUAAGGAGCAUCUUAUCAUCAUCUGCUUUGGUUGCAUAAGUGAACUUGUAAACAAAUUUAUUGUUGUUAUAGACAGUGUCGUCAUCUCUUCAACCAACUGUAAAAGAACUCAUACCAAAACACAUGGAUGAUACUUGGACUUGUGAACUUAUGUGGAAUGCGGAACUUCUUUUGACUCUUGGGUAUUUUGAAGACUAAAAAAAAAAAAUGCUGCUUAGCAUGAAUGACCACCAUAAAGCAAUCUAAAGUCACAUGUCACAACGAGCCAGGGUGGGUGGGUG
rnacentral:lncRNA from 1 species